AUUGAACGCUGGGGGCAGGCCGAACACAUGCAAGUCGAACGAGUGGCGGACGGGUGAGUAAUGGCUGGGAAACUGCCUGAUGGAGGGGGAUAACUACUGGAAAAGGUAGCUAAGACCGCAUACCAUCGGAGGUGGCCAGAUGGGAUUGGCUAGUAGGUGGGGUAAAGGCUCACCUAGGCGACGAUACCUAGCUGGUCUGAGAGGAUGACCAGCCACACUGGAACGGAGACACGGUCCAGACUCCUACGGGAGGCAGCAGUGGGGAAUAUUGCACAAUGGGCGCAAGCCUGAUGCAGCCAUGCCGCGUGUAUGAAGAAGGCCUUCGGGUUGUAAAGUACUUUCAGCGGGGAGGCGUUACCCGCAGAAGAAGCACCGGCUAACUCCGUGCCAGCAGCCGCGGUAAUUC
rnacentral:rRNA from 1 species